CGCCAUUGCCAAGCAAUAUCAGAAAGAAAGUUCACAUUCUCCAGAGAAGAUCAUCCAGUACUCAGUGACAAACCGCUCCAAGUCAUCAUGCAGAUCAUCGCCAUUGUGUGUUUCGGAUUGCUUUGCCUUACCUUCGAGGCUGUGUCGGCAUCCGGGCAAGCUCAACCGUUUAAAGCUACGCCUUUUUAUGAUUUAGCAGAAAUUGUACAAACGACCCCUAAAGUGAGAACGGUACGUGAUAUUUGCAGCAUCGUGGGCUACUGUCUACACGGCAGAGAUCAUUGUUAUCUCUACUGCCAACGCAAUGGGCACAAAUACGGGACGUGCAUCGGCAGUGUCAAUAAAUAUCAGUCUUGUGAAUGUUGUCGGUGAUCUAUGACUUACUAAAGGUUAUUCAAAAAAUUCAAUAGCUAGGAAAUAACGUUCGUAAAUUGGAGUUAUAGGAAAAAUAAUUUAUUAUAAUUCAUAUUUGCAAUAAAAAAGGUUUGUUCAUAUAGAAUUAACCGAUUUAUUUUGCUUCAA